AAAAAGGGGAAAAAAUCUUGGAUGUUGGUUAAUUUUUUUUGUAAUUCCUCUAUAUCACGUGCAUAGCACGUGCCUAACGAGAUCUCGCUGGCGGCGACCGGAGAUACUUUCCGGCGACAUCUUUCACCUUCUUUGUUAAUGGGUUCUAGCCCAAUUGUGGUUUCGGGGUCUUCAGGUACGAGGAACCGACCCAAUAAUAAUAAGAGCAAGAAUGAUCCGUGUGUUAGCUCGUCUGGGUUUGUGUAUUUACUUGUGGCGUUUGUAGUUUUGGGUUCAAUUGCUGGGAUUUAUGUUCGGUUUAUGAUGACCCCAAAUGUCCAUGCGAGUAUU
rnacentral:misc_RNA from 1 species